GUCCACGCCCUAAACGAUGUCGACUGGAUGUUGGGUGCAACUUGGCACUCAGUAUCGAAGCUAACGCGUUAAGUCGACCGCCUGGGGAGUACGCGCGCAAGCGUGAAACUCAAAGGAAUUGACGGGGGCCCCGCACAAGCGGUGGAGUAUGUGGUUUAAUUCGAUGCAACGCGCAGAACCUUACCUGGUCUUGACAUGUCGAGAACCCUGCGGAGACGUGGGGGUGCCUUCGGGAACUCGAACACAGGUGCUGCAUGGCUGUCGU
rnacentral:rRNA from 1 species